AGGUUUCCAAGCAGAGGAAUAAUUAAUGCCACCACUUGAGGCCAUGUCAGAUUACUAUUUUUAGUUGCAUUUUC